ensembl:lncRNA
GUGGGAGAGGGAAAUGGGGAGGGAUUGGGGUAUUGUGAGAAACACUAAAUUACAAUAUUGCCUCCCUGUGUAAUUGGAGAGAUUAAACGAUAACCUCCAAUAAGAUUAUUUCCUGCAAGACUCGGUUAUACUAUGACAUGAAAAUAAUUCUGAAACUGAAAUUAAUCUCUUUAUAAUUAUUAUAAAUUCUCUCCUUUGGGAUGUAUUGAGGGGGAAAUCUUGGGAAAUUGGUCAUGAGGGAGUUUUCUGGUGAGAUGUGUUUGAAGGAUAUUUCAGAAAUAAACAUGGUAAUGUAAAACUUGACUCAAGGGAAAUAUGGCAUGAAAAAUGGGAUUAUAAAGAAAGAGUGAGAGGAGGCCGAGUUAUUUUGAGCCGUUGGGUUUCCUGCAGGUGAAGAAAUUAAACAAUGUUUUUGGGAACAAUCGCUCCACUGCGAACGGGGCGGGGGGAGAGGAAGAGUAGGAAAGGGAGGAGGGAAGUGUACAAGAAGAGGAGUGAUUAUAGCACAAACACAUAAACAAAAUCAUAUCUAAUAUAUCAUUUAUGAUGUUGACUUGGCUACUUUAUGAGAAGUGUUUAUAUUUAAAAUGUAGCUAUUACUAAAUGUACAAUAACACUGUCAAAAGUAUUGAUUUAUUAUAGGAGGAGAAUUUGGCUUGUGAGUAUAGUAACCCUUGGACACACCUCCCCUCCUCCCAUCUCUCCAGUUUAUAAAAGAAGAGAGAAGGAGAAGAAUAUAACAAAAAUAAUUUCAGGAUUAAUGGUUUACUUAAAGGCAUAACACGAUUUUCAGUUUUCUUAGUGGCCACCGCAGUAUUGAGAUGGCUGUACUGCUGCUUUUGACUGUGCCUCUGACUGUAGCCUCACCUCUCAGAUUAACACACAGGUGACUUAUUGAUCCCUUAUAGACUGCAUCUAUGACCAUAACCCUCAGACUUAACAUGGGCAGAGCUACACUUUUAAAAAAUGAGCAGGAUAGGGUUAUACUAAGAAACAUUUUCAUCUGAAGAACCCUUUUUGGAAGAGAAAGGUAUUUUGUAAGGCAAAGAGUUC